GAUGAAGAACGUAGCGAAAUGCGAUACGUAAUGUGAAUUGCAGAAUUCAGUGAAUCAUCGAAUCUUUGAACGCAUAUUGCGCUCUCUGGUAUUCCGGAGAGCAUGCUUGUUUGAGUAUCAUUAAACACCUCAACUUCCAUAUCUUUUUUGAAAUGGGAGUUGGACUUGAGUGAUCCCAACGCUUUUCCUCACCGAAAAGUGGCGGGUUACUUGAAAUGCAGGUGCAGCUGGACUUUUCUCUGAGCUAUAAGCAUAUCUAUUUAGUCUGCCUAAAAAACAGAUUAUUACCUUUGCUGCAGCUAACAUAAAGGAGAUUAGUUCUUGUGCUGACUGAUGCAGGAUUCACAAAGACAGGCUUCGGCCGACUUUGUAAACUCGAUCUCAAAUCAAGUAAGACUACCCGCUGAACUUAAGCAUAUCAAUAAGCGGAGGA
rnacentral:misc_RNA from 1 species